rnacentral:rRNA from 1 species
UACGUAGGGAGCAAGCGUUGUCCGGAAUCAUUGGGCGUAAAGCGCGCGUAGGUGGCCUCAUAAGUCCGUUGUGAAAGUCAAAGGCUCAACCUUUGAAAGCCGAUGGAUACUGUGAGACUAGAGUACGGAAGAGGCGAGUGGAAUUCCUGGUGUAGCGGUGGAAUGCGCAGAUAUCAGGAGGAACACCAAUAGCGAAGGCAGCUCGCUGGGACGUUACUGACACUGAGGCGCGAAAGCUAGGGGAGCAAACAGG